rnacentral:tRNA from 1 species
GCUCUGGUGGUGGAAUUGGUAGACACGCGGGACUUAAAAUCCCGUGAGCAAUGCGCUCUUAUGGGUUCAAGUCCCAUCCGGAGUA